rnacentral:rRNA from 1 species
GAACUGAAGAGUUUGAUCAUGGCUCAGAUUGAACGCUGGCGGCAGGCCUAACACAUGCAAGUCGAGCGGAUGACAGGAGCUUGCUCCUGAAUUCAGCGGCGGACGGGUGAGUAAUGCCUAGGAAUCUGCCUGGUAGUGGGGGACAACGUUUCGAAAGGAACGCUAAUACCGCAUACGUCCUACGGGAGAAAGCAGGGGACCUUCGGGCCUUGCGCUAUCAGAUGAGC